ensembl:lncRNA
UUUUUUUUUUUUUUUUUGUCUUUUCUAGGGCCGCUCCCACAGCAUAUGGAGGUUCCCAGGAUAGGGGUUUAAUCAGAGCUGUAGCCGCUGGCCUACGCCAGAGCCACAGCCACGUGGGAUCCGAGCUGAGUCUGUGACCUACACCACAGCUCACGGCAAUGCCAGAUCCUUAACCCACUGAGCAAGGCCAGGGAUUGAACCCUCAACCUCAUGGUUCCUAAGUCGGAUUUGUUAACCACUGAGCCACGACAAGAACUCCCACGUGUCAGGUUCUUAACCCAUGGAGCUGCAACAGGAACACCCAUUAUAUGAUUUAAUUUAAAUAACACUUGAACAUAAAAUUUCAGAAAUGGAAACAGCUUAGUGGUUGCCAGGGGUUAGGGACGGGUGAUGGGGGAGAGAGGGAGGAAGGAGGAAGGAGGGAGGAGCUAUAAAGGGCAAUACAAAGGGUCUCUGCCCUCUGGGAACCAUUCAAUAGCUUGGACGUGACAGUGGAGACACAAACCCCUACAAGUGAUAAACUGUUCCGACCUUAAUACACACACACAUACACGAGACUACAAGUAAAAGGGGAGAACUCUAAAUAAGUCAGUGGAUUCUCUCAGUGUCAGUUCCUGGCUGUGAUCUGCCACUAGUGUUUCACAAAAUGUCACCAUUGAAGGAAACUGGGCAAAGUGUACAAAAGAUAUCUUUAUUUUAUUUCAUAUAACUGCAUGGGAAUUUACAAUUAUCUCAGUGCAAAAUUUCAAUUAAAAAGAUACUGUUUAGGAGUUCCCUGCUGGCCUAGCAGUUAAGGACCAGGUGUGGACACUGCUACGGUUCAGGUUCCUGUCCUAGACUUUACGCAUGCUGCGGACAAGGCCAAAGAAAAGAAAAAAAAGGCAUUGUUUAUGAAUAUAAAAUACAUGAAAAUAACAAGUACCUAAAAAUAAACGUAAUGAAAAACAUGUAAGACCACUAUCCAAAGAACUAUGUUACUGAGAGAAAUGAAAGAAGCUCUAACUAUUCGACUUUUCGCUGUCACACAAAGCAGUCAUAGACAAUAUGCAAGUCAAUGGGAGCAGCUGUGUUUCAGUAAAAUUUCUUUUACAAAAACAGGUGGCAGGCUAGUUUUGAUCUGUGGGCCAUAAUCAGCCAAUCCAAAUCUACAGGCAAUGCAAGCCUAAGCAAUAUUUCAGCAGGUUUUUCUCCGGAACAGGAGAGAAUGUGGAAACUGACAAACUCAUUCUAAACUUUGCUUAUUCUAGGGAGUUCCCGUUGUGGCUCAGUGGGUUAUGAACCCAACUAGAAUCCAUGAAGAUGUGGGUUCAAUCCCUGGCCUCACUCAGUGGGUUAAGGAUCCAGUGUUGCUGUGGCUGUGGUGCAGGCUGGCAGCUGCAGCUCUGAUUCAACCCUUAGCCUGGGAACCUCCAUAUGGCGCAAGUGUGGCCCUAAAAAAGCAAAAAUAAGAGAAAACAAAAUAAAAUUUGCUCAUUCUAUAAUAAUGCAAAAGGCAAAGAAAACUAAAAACAAUCUGAAGAAAAACAAAGUGCUAGGACUAACUAUCGACUAUCAAAGCUUAUAAGGCAACAAUAAUUACGACAGUGUUGUCUUGGUAGUUACAAAUAGGACAAAAGACCAGAAAUAGACAUAUCCACCUGUGAUUGCUAGAUUUAGGAUAAGAGGGGCAAUGUAAAGCAAGCGAGAAGGAAUGGCCUUAUCAAUACAAUCUAAUUUUCUGGUUCGCUUGAAAUUUUUUUUCUUUUCUUUUUGGGGUCACACCUGCAAGCAUAUGGAGUGGCCCAAGAAAUUUUUUUUUUAAAAAAAAAAAAAAAAAAAAAAAAAAAAAAAAAAAAGAAAAACAAAAAACAAAAAAACUUCAACCUUAGACCAUUUAGAAGAAUCAAUUCCAGGUACACUGUAGGUAGAAAUAUGAAAGGUGAAACAAUAAAGCUUCCAAAGGAAAUACAGAUGAGUAACUUCAUGAUUUUGAAGUAGGCAAGAGUUUCUUAACAGAACAACAACAAAAAACCACAAAUGAAAAAAAUUAUUAGGAGUUCCCACUGUAGUGCAGUGGGUUAAGAAUGUGGUGCUGCCACAGCUGCAGCACAGGUCGCGGCUGUGGCUCAGAUUUGAUCCCUGAAAGCUUCCCUGGCCUGGAAACUUCCCACAUGCCAUGGGUGCAGCAAUAUUAAAAAAAAAAAAAAAGAAUUUUGUCUUGAACUACAUGAAAAUCAGAACCUCUGAUCAUUAAAAGAUUCCAUUAAGAGAUUAAAAAACAAACAAACAAAACUCCCAGCAAACAGAGUGGGAAGAAAUGUUUGCAACACAAAAUCAAAAGACUGGCAUCCACAAAACAGAGCAAAUUCCUAUAAAUCAAAACAGAAAAAAAGCCUGAUAGAAAACAGGCAAGAAAUUUCACACACACACACACACACACACACACACACACACACACACCCGAACGGCCAACUGAUAUAUGAAAAAGUGCUCAUCUUCUUCACUGGUCACGAGGGAGACGCAAAUUAAAACCACAACCUAGAGGCCUGCCGGCCUGGCCACACGGCCAAAACAGACAGACUGGUAACACCAAGGGCUGGCGAGGAGAGGGCGCCGGGAGCUGUCAUGCUCUGCGGCCGGGACCGCGAGCUGGCCACCACUUCCACGUCCACGUCCCAGGUGACCACAUGCACAUCCUAGUUAUCACCGUGUGAUGUGACACCUGGGGAAAAAGACGUCCUGACAUUUUGGAGACAGUGCUGAAACGUGUAUGGAGCAAGUGGCGUGCUGUCUGGGGUUGGCUCUGAAGCGGCCCUGGCGAUGGAGGGCAGGGGUAAAGGAUGAAAGAAGACUGACCCAGGCAAUUCCUGAUGCGCACAGGCGUCAGCAAAACGCACGCCUUCCCGCGACCGUCUAUGGUGAGGUGGCGCGGCCGCAGGACAGAGCGGCGUGGGGGCGAGUGUGGACUCCAGCGGGGGACGCUCCAGCUGAAUGAAGCGAGCGCAUUCACUGCCUUACAGAAACCUGUUACUGGAGGUUUCCGUUUAUUUGCUUUGAAACAGAAGUGCCCCAGACACUUCUACCCACACAGACUGUGGCAGCAGGAUGUCCGGGACCUCAUGCCUGUGACCGGUCAGUGACAGGACGGGCUCGCCUCGUUUGGGCCCUGCACACUCCUGGGGACGGAGCAGGGCGGCCUGUUCCAGAGCUGGCCAGCAGAAACCUCUCCCAGGAUCCUGCUGCCCACGGCCAGAGAUGGGAGGCGGCAAGAUGCAGCGCCAGCCAGGCGCCAUCCCAGACCCUGGGCGUGGAUUACCUGCUCAGUUUUCCUGGCAAUGAGGUUGCCGAUGGUCUUGCUGAAAAAACUGGCGAGCAGAGGGUUGAGGGGCGGUUCCCGGUCCAGGGAGUCGUAAAGCAGGGUCUCGUCCCCUCCCAGCCUGUCGUUGAUCUGAGGCACGUCACAGGUCAGCAGCUCACAGGCUGUGUUUGGGUAUCUAAAGGGGCACAGUGCCAGCGACAGGAGGUGAAAUCAGACUUCUUCAACCCUCAUGGAGCUACUUAACCAAGCCGCCUCUUAGGAAGCAGAUCGGGGAGCAAGAACAAAACACGGUCAGAACAAAAUUGUGAUUAUUCUGUGACCAGCCUGCAUUUUUGGCUACUCGAAGCCCGAUGUUCCCGUCAUACCUUUUUCUGGCGCCUCGGAGCCUCAACAUCCCACACCUUCUCCGCUUCCUCCUCUCCAGAAGCCUUGCUCAUCUUCUGACCGCCCCUCGCCCUCACCUCCACACCUCUCUCCUGCAGCCACAGCCUGCAUCACGCUCACCCCCCCACUCCACGGCCUUCCUGCCCCCCGUUAUCCACAAGAGAGAACCGAAAAGAUGCUGCACCCCCAGCAGCUCGCCGGGCAGCACCAGGUCCGGGGUGCUGCGAGGCCACCACUCUUGAGAAGAACCAGCGUAUGUAAACGAAGUCCAAGUCAUGGGAUGGAAGUGGCCAGGUGCAAGAUAACCCUCAUCCCGUCAUGCAAUCCCACGCCUCUGUGCUCCCCGCCUGACCCCUGACAGACACGGGACCACUGCUGAGGCCCUCGGCAGGCCUACCCAACAGCCUGCUGCAGCCAGGACAGAGCCCACCCCGGCAGGUCAGUGACAACGCCAGGUCCCACACCCAGCACGUCGGGAAACACAGGUGAGGACCCUCAGGACCGGAGCAGGCAGGAGCCUGCUGGGAGCACCCUGUGGGGCUGACAGCACUGGAGCACACCUGGCACCACACUGCAUGAGACAUGCUGGGCCGCGUUGGCCAGGUGACCUGACCUCUCUGUGCCGGGGCUUCCUCACCUGGACUUGGAGGUUGAGUGUCACCCCUUCUGCAAGCCUGGCAUGCUGUAAGCCCUGGACCAAGGUCAGCCACUGUGACCCUCUGACUUCUGGCAGCCACCAACAUGGGCCCCAGCACAGGCCUAAGGCAAGGCUGGCACGGUGGAUCAGCUAGAGGGGCCUGGGUCUGAGAGACUCUCGAGGAAACAGCUGGGGAGCUAGCAGCCGCCCACAGGCGGACAAAGCCCGGGAGGCAGUGGGGCUGGUCCCAUCAGCCCAGCCAGCGCUCAUUUCCUGGGGCGCAGAGGGCCAGGGCCAGCAGGCAGCUGCAUGUGCGGGACCUGCGGGCUUCACACAGAGGGGCCUCGACAGAGGUGUGGCCAAGGCCAUGACCGAGGCGGGAAGCUGGUGGGGCAGCUCAGCACGUGGACGUGCGCCGCCCGGGCAGCACGUCCGGUGGGCAGAGGCAGGGAGCACCUGCUCAGAGCGCAGCACCUCAGGCCAGAACAAGGCCCCGUGGGAUGCGGGUGGAGGGGCGUCCAAGAUCCAAAGGACAAGACCCGCCGAGCAGCGGGGAGGAGCGAGGCCCAGCGCGCACGGGCGGUGGCUGAGCACAGCGCUCUCGUGGGGGGACCAGGAGCUUCUCCAGCAGGAUUUUACGAUUCUUCUUCAAAAACGUCCUGCUUUGCAGGUUCCCCGAUCUAGGCAGGGAACAGGCAUUUCAGUUAAACACAGCAGGUGGACCGUGCAGGUCGGUGAUCACCCCGUCUCAAACGCCUCCUCAAACGACGCAAAGAAGACAAGACACAGACGGAGGUGGGAACGGCCUCCUGGCCGCAGGUGGUGGCGGCCAGGCAGGUCCGAGGCUGGGGGCGAGGGGUCCGCUAGACACCCAGCUCCGUGAGGCCAGGACGGGGACAGGCAGAGAGAGGCCUGGUGCAGUCAGACUCCCAGCCCCCACUCCUCGUUUGGUUUGCUUAGUUUUGUGAUUUGCUGGUUUCUCCCAGACUCGGACUCUGCAGCUCUCCUGAUUUUCGAUGCUGGGAUGUCCCUGACCCGACCCAGGGCAGCAUGUCACCUUGCUGGCAAGUUCCAGGACAGCAGGGUUAGGAAAUGUCCCCAGGAGGCUGCACACCUGUGGCAUCAGACUUGUCAGCAGCAGGGCUGGGGCUUGGAACGAGAAGAAUGAACCAUGCUGCCACCACGUCAGCACAAAGGCCGCAGCAGCCACCCCACCCCGACGGUGCCCCCUGAGGCACUCAGGACAGGAGAGCACAGGACACGGCCCGAGAGCCCAGGGGCACGUCAAAGGCUUGGCUUCUGUGAGCCAGACUCUUGCACCUUCCCCGACACAGAAAAGCCUCACUCCACUCCCUU